UACUUUUUGGUUAAGUGGGAUAAAUUGAUUUUUCUGGGAGGAAUUGGUAAAGGGUUCGAACCCGCUCAGGGUAA